UACGGAGGAUCCAAGCGUUAUCCGGAAUCAUUGGGUUUAAAGGGUCCGUAGGCGGUUUUGUAAGUCAGUGGUGAAAGCCCAUCGCUCAACGGUGGAACGGCCAUUGAUACUGCAAGACUUGAAUUAUUGGGAAGUAACUAGAAUAUGUAGUGUAGCGGUGAAAUGCUUAGAGAUUACAUGGAAUACCAAUUGCGAAGGCAGGUUACUGCCAAUAUAUUGACGCUGAUGGACGAAAGCGUGGGGAGCGAACAGG
rnacentral:rRNA from 1 species